rnacentral:lncRNA from 1 species
GGAAAAUAAUUGGAAAGUAGAGGCGGAAUGAAUUGAUUUCCCGCCGAACGAAAUGAUAUAAAGAAACGACACCGUUUCACAGGCCGGCGUCCACAUAAUCGUAUUAGUAUGGUGAAGAAUUGGAGGCAGUAAAGCAGUAAUAGAAGAAAAAGAAUAGAAGAAGAAGAAUGAGUGAUCCAUUUACUUCAUACUCUCACACCCACCGCAUUGUUCUCCUCAUCGAUGUUUCAAUCUCCGAUUCCAAUUACAUAACUUCUCUUCUCUCAACUCAAUUCUCUCUCUCCCUUCUCUCUCUUCUUCUCUCUUCUCUUUUCAUCUCUUCUUCUCUUCUCUCUCUCCUCUUCUCUCUCUCUCUAAACUCCCUCUUCCUCCUCCCUUCGAUCUUCCUCAACCUACUCUCUCCCGUCUUUCCCAUUCUCUCUCCCAUCUCCCUCUCUCUCUUCCGUCUCCCCCUAUUGCUUCUCAUAUCGCUGCUUCUUUGCUUUAUAUUUUUCAUCAUUAUUCGUGGGACCCACCUAAUGACUAUACUUUCUCUUCGUUUAACUCGUUUCUUCCUUCCAAUUUGGUUCUACUCUUUUUCCCUCUCUCUCACUCUUUCUCUUCGUUUUUCCAUGUCCCGGAUUUUGAUGAUGUUAGUUUGUUCAGUGAGGCGUUUUUAUCGGUGUUUUAAUUCUGUUCGCAAUGUGUUUGAUUCGAGGGAUAUACAUUGCAGUUUCAUCCGUGUUGGGUCUGGAUCUGGUUCAGGUUCCUAUCAUAAU